GCCUGAACUUUCUCAUCUAACACCUGUUCAAGUCGGAGGAUGCUGAUUAAUUCAUGAUGGAAAGGUAUCAAUUUCACAGCCCAGACUUCUACAUUCUUGAAAUGCUGUUCUCAUGGGAGACAUUAAAUAAGCUUUGAAAUAACUUGCCAUGACACCCAGGAUGCAGCUGUAGGAACACCACUGGGUCCCUGGAUAUCAUGUAAGCCCUUAAGUAAAGGUGCCAUCAAAUGAUUUCUCAGAAAUUAUAAAGAAACAAAAGGACCAUAAACAAGAUAAGGUGGCACGAGGAAACACUAAAAGUACCUUUCAGAGCUGACUGGCAAAGAAACUCCUGAGGUGAUGGUUCUACCCCAAUAUUACUUCUUCCAAGAGCAACCUAACUGGACUUAUCUUCCUCAGUUCCCUGUGGGGAACUUUUGUAGAGCCACACGAAAGGAGGUUUUUAGCUCUCACCUAUGGUCUUCAUCAUGCACCUCCUAGAUUCAAAAGUUCAGCAGGGGCAUGUCAAGCUAUAUAAAUAAAAACAAACUAAGACAAAAAUGUAACAUUCCAUACCUUAAAAUGCAACCUUAAUAACGUGAAAGACCCU
rnacentral:antisense_RNA from 1 species